rnacentral:rRNA from 14 species
GUCUACAGCCAUACCACCCUGAAUGCGCCCGAUCUCGUCUGAUCUCGGAAGAAUGCUUUACAUAAUGCAGGGAGACUUACUUUGCUAGUUAUGAAGACUUGCUGCAAAGU